rnacentral:rRNA from 1 species
UACGAAGGGGGCUAGCGUUGCUCGGAAUCACUGGGCGUAAAGGGCGCGUAGGCGGCGUUUUUAAGUCGGGGGUGGAAGCCUGUGGCUCAACCACAGAAUGGCCUCGAUACUGGGACGCUUGAGUAUGGUAGAGGUUGGUGGAACUGCGAGUGUAGAGGUGAAAUUCGUAGAUAUUCGCAAGAACACCGGUGGCGAAGGCGGCCAACUGGACCAUUACUGACGCUGAGGCGCGAAAGCGUGGGGAGCGAACAGG